UGGAGAGUUUGAUCCUGGCUCAGAUUGAACGCUGGCGGCAGGCCUAACACAUGCAAGUCGAGCGGCAGCGACAUAAACAAUCCUUCGGGUGCGCUUAUGGGCGGCGAGCGGCGGACGGGUGAGUAAUGCCUGGGAAUAUGCCCUGAUGUGGGGGAUAACCAUUGGAAACGAUGGCUAAUACCGCAUAAUCUCUUCGGAGCAAAGAGGGGGACCUUCGGGCCUCKCGCGUCAGGAUUAGCCCAGGUGAGAUUAGCUAGUUGGUGAGGUAAGAGCUCACCAAGGCGACGAUCUCUAGCUGGUCUGAGAGGAUGAUCAGCCACACUGGAACUGAGACACGGUCCAGACUCCUACGGGAGGCAGCAGUGGGGAAUAUUGCACAAUGGGGGAAACCCUGAUGCAGCCAUGCCGCGUGUGUGAAGAAGGCCUUCGGGUUGUAAAGCACUUUCAGUCGUGAGGAAGGCAUAUGCGUUAAYAGCGYAUGUGUUUGACGUUAGCGACAGAAGAAGCACCGGCUAACUCCGUGCCAGCAGCCGCGGUAAU
rnacentral:rRNA from 1 species